AGAAUCAACGCUGGCGGCGUAGCCUAACACAUGCAAGUCGAACGAGAAAGUGGAGCAAUCCAUGAGUAAAGUGGCGCACGGGUGAGUAACACGUGACUAACCUACCCUUGAGUGGGGAAUAACCUAGGGAAACCUGGGCUAAUACCGCAUAACACCUACGGGUCAAAGGAGCAAUUCGCUUAAGGAGGGGGUCGCGGCAGAUUAGCUAGUUGGCGGGGUAAUGGCCCACCAAGGCAGUGAUCUGUA
rnacentral:rRNA from 1 species